rnacentral:rRNA from 1 species
CCCGCACAAGCGGUGGAGCAUGUGGUUUAAUUCGACGCAACGCGAAAAACCUUACCUGGGCUUGACAUGCUGGUAGUAGUGAACCGAAAGGGAAACGAUCCUGAGCAAUCAGGAAGCCAACACAGGUGCUGCAUGGCUGUCGUCAGCUCGUGUCGUGAGAUGUUGGGUUAAGUCCCGCAACGAGCGCAACCCUUAUCCCCAGUUGCCAUCAGGUAAAGCUGGGAACUCUGGGGAGACUGCCGGUGAUAAACCGGAGGAAGGCGGGGAUGACGUCAAGUCCUCAUGGCCCUUACAUCCCGGGCUACACACGUGCUACAAUGGCAGGUACAGAGGGCUGCGAAGCCGCGAGGUGGAGCGAAUCCCAGAAAACCUGUCUCAGUCCGGAUUGAAGUCUGCAACUCGACUUCAUGAAGGCGGAAUCGCUAGUAACCGCGAAUCAGCAGGUCGCGGUGAAUACGUUCCCGGGCCUU